UCGGUCAGACAGUCAGAAUUUAGCUUCACGCGGACGAGGCCACUUUCCCUCGGCUCACCUGCGAGAUAUCCCCUAAAAUGAAUGCGAAGAAAAAUAAAAACAAACAAAAACAAAACAAACCCAACCCGCAACCGAAAGCCGAGGAAAUUAUAGGCGAAACCCCUGAAAAACUAGAACUCGAAGAAAAAAUAGAAGUAGUGAAAAGUGAAGAACGUGUUCCUGAAAUUGUGAGUGAAACUGCUCCUGUGUCCGAUGCGAAGAUAUCAGAAGGCGAUACUCCCAAAAAACCUAAAAGAAAUAGAGGUAAGAAGAAAAAAACUGAUAAGGAAGAUGAAACUGACGACAUCCAGGAACAGAAAGUGCCUGAGCCUGUCACUGAAGAAGUCAAACAGACUAGUGAUGAGCAAGGUAAUAAAGAGCCUAAUAAAGCUGUGGAAGAAAAGGGCACUGACUUAUCAGAAAUAGCUCCAGCUGCGCGUAAAAAGAAAAAUAAAAAUAAAAAGCAAUCGGAACAAGCGGAAAAAGCUUCAGAACAGGAAAUAAAAAUUACACCGCUAACAAAGGAAGAAUUAACAGAUGUGAAAAUAGUCACUUGUGUUCCUGUUGCGACGGAGUCCGCCGAAGAAUCUAAAUCGAAGAAAAAAAACAAGAAGAAGAAACGAAGUGAUUCAGAGCGAUCUGAUAAAGCUGAUGAAGUGGCUGCUUGUACUGCGGCAUUCCAAAAGCUGUUGGAAUAUAAAGACGAAAAGAAGGACGUUAAAAAAGAAACUAAAUUAGAAGAUAUUAUACCUGCUACAGAAGAAAGCACACCUAAAGAGCAAGAGGUAAUUCCUGUUCAAAUAGAGACGAAGAUAAUUUCUGAAAAAGGCGUAAUACAAGAUGAAAUCGUUGAAGAAAAACCACAUGAAACCAAAGUUGUUACAAAAGAAGAGGGUGGAAAAAGUAAAAAGAAAAACAAAAAGGACAAAAAGCAUCCUCCUAAAAUGGAGGGCGAAGAUCUAGAGGUUGAGCAAAAAUAUAUUGAAGACAAAACUGAAGUAUUAACGACAGAAAACCCUACUGAAAGUAGAAGUAGUACCAAUGUUGCAGCGGAAAAUAUUUUAGAAAUAAAAGGAGAGCCUGUAAUACAUUUAGAAGAUACACAUAAAUCUUCAGAAAAGCCAAACAUUGAAAAAGAAAAGAGUCCUAAACCUAAAGCUAAAAUAGCAAAACCGGUAGAAAAGAAACGUAAAGGUAAAGGUGAUAAUUCGAGUACUGAAGUUUUAAUUGAAGAAAGUUCUGUAAGUGUUAGUACUCCUGAAGACUCUACAGUUACCGCUGAGACGACCAAAGAACAUAAAGAAGAUACUACUGCAGAAAAAAGGGAAGAAAUAAAGGAUGUCGCUAUUGAAGUUAAAAUAGAUACUUCCGAAAAAGAAAUGGGACACAUAGGAGAUCCUGCUGACAAACAAGAUAUUAAAUCCGAAGUAAAAGAACAAAUAGAAACAAUGACAAAAGAGACUGAAACCAUUCAAAUGCCUGAAACCAGUAAAAAAAGGAGAAAGUCACCCAAACCAAAGACAGUUGAUACAUUGAUUAAAGAACCUGCAGCUCCAACUAUGCUAGAAGCUACAAUUGUGGAACCAAAGCCUACAAAGUCAGACGAAACUAAAGAAAAUAUCCUACCAAGUAAAGAAACUGUAGCCAAGAAAGACGAAAUUAAAGCUAUUCUUGAAAUCAAGACUGAAAUUAUUGAAGAAAAACCAACUGCAGCAUUAGAGCCUGAGCCACCAGUAUUACAACCAAAUGUACCAAUCGCUCUCGGCUUCGAACCGAUAAUACCAACAAAAACUACAUCAGAAGCGAGGAUUUUGGCAACACCUGAAGUUGGUAAAAUGCCAGAACUACCUACAGAAUUAGUGUUGGAAACGGAAGGACAACAUAUUCCAAUACCUGAACCAGUUAUGGGGAAGAAGAGAAAAAAGUCGCCUAAACCACCUAGAAAGCUGAAUAAAACCCCUGAACCAACUGAGAAAGUAUCUGAACCCGUAAGUGCACCUGAACAGAGUACAAAAGACAUUACAAACGAACAAAAAAUUAAGACAGAAACCGGUUUUGACUUACUACCAAUGGAAGAUAUUGAAAUAAGAAGUAUGAAAGCAUCUGAAUCUGAAGGUUCUGCGUGUGAUAUAACACCAGACGUUCAGUAUCCAAGAGCUAGUAGUCAACUCCUAGACGAUAACAAUAACACGACUAUACGAGAUGUUACUGAUAUUAAAUUGAACAUUCCUUUUGAACUGCCUGACACUCCUUUGAUCCAAGGAUCUGGAGAAACUCCUUUAACACCUCCAAAACUAAAUACAACAGGAAUAAAAUUUACUGAAGUAUUAACAGAACCUGAGCCUGUAGUACAAGAUUUUUUACCUUCGAAAUCUGAGACAGAGAUUAAAAGCAAGCCCAAUGAGAAAACUGAUUUAAAGUCUAAAGUAUUGGAUGUUAAUAUUGGUAUGGAAGAAUUGAGAAAGUCCAUUGAAAGGUCUUUGGCAGAAUUGACAUCUAUGGAAAGAAGUGAAAGGGACGCUGAAGAACAAUUUGCUAGUGCUCAAAGCAAAUUGCAAGAAAUAACAGAAUUAGCUUCAAAGAAAACUGAGUGUGAUAAAAAAAUAUUGCCUGCGAAAGAUAACACAAAAAUAGAAAAAAGAGCGUCAACACCAGUGCAAACAAAGGAGGCUGACAAAUACGCAACAAGUGGCGAAUCGAAACCAGUUCCACAAGUGGAAGAAUCAAAAGCUAAUACAAAGCAAGUAGAAUCUACAGUAACUGAUAUUAAACCUGAAGAGCAAAAAAUCGGCGAAAACCCUGUACAAGCGGAAACACCUGUUCCACCAGCAGCACCUAUAUGUCCCGCAAGAAAAGAAAACAAAGGAAAAGGUAAAAGAAAGAAAGGAAAACAAGAUGCUGAGCACAACGUAGUAACACCGACAAGUACUACGUGUUCUGAAAGUAGUGCUACUACAAGUACUACUACUGGGAGUGAAACAAAAGAAUCUACCAAAGAUACUAAAAAAGAUGACAAAUCUAAUCAGAAAAACACCGGCCAAACUCAAGAAAAAGGAAAACAACAGUCUGAUUUUUUAGAAGAAACUAAUUCUCCCUGUGGUGUUUUGGAAAAUGCUGGAUUAACUGACUCUGUACAGAUGGGGUUUGAACCGAUAGACAGUUUCGAAGAUGCCUUAACGUCAAGUGUUGACGACGUCAACAAAACAUUCGAAAUGAUUGCUAACGAAUCGAAUACAUUUGACCAAUCGCAAAAUCCUGAAAUAAACGUAAUUAGUCCUGUAGAUGACGAGGACAAUAGUAAUGACAAAAAAGAUGCAAAUGAAGAAAAAAUCAAUCCUAUUUCGCAGCCAAAAAACUUGCUAGGCCACCCCGAUAUUCCUGCACGAUUGAAUAAAACUGACUACAAAAAAGAAAAGAAUAAAUCUCCAAAUACAAAGCAAGCUAGAGUGAAAAUAAAGGAUUCGGUUCCUAUAGAAAUGAGUAAGGAAUCUAAAGAAUCACAGACAGAGAACAAUAAAAGAUUUAUGAAAGAUAAAACUGUGACAGAAUCGAUAUCUUCUGUGAGGAGUGAUAAUGAAGAGUAUAUUUACAAGUACAGUUUUAGGAAAGUGUUUUUACCGAGUGCCUGUCAUGUUUGCAAGAAGGAUUUGAAGCAGACGAGAGUUCCUUGUAAUUUCUGCAGUUUGGUGUUCUACUGCAGUGCGAAACAUAAAGAUGAAGAUUAUCCCCAACAUCAAGCGUUGUGCUUUGCUGUAUCCACUAUCGUUCAUUUAAAAGAUCAAAAACACAUCUAUGCGGAAGCGAAGAACAUAACAGGUCACGAGUACCGUCUUCUUCGUAUGCAGAUGAUAGUAUCGUGUGAGAAAGUGCUGAAGAGAAGGCUGGUGCCGUGGGAGCAGGAAGCAUUGCUGUAUCCCAGGAUGUGUGCCGACGCCGCUUGUCGGGAGUGGAGGCAGAGCAAGCUGGUGGACUGUGAGGGCUGUGGACAGGUAUCAUUCUGUGCCGAUCACCCUGACCACUUGCCGAAGUCUCACCAGCGUUGGUGCAAGUCCUACUCCCUGUACCAUCGGCUGGUGGUCUACCAGCAGACCAAGGGCAGACUGGAGCCGAAACUGCCAUCACGGGUGAUGGCAGAGCUGUACCAGAUCCCUGAGAAGCUGAAUGAGGUGCUCGCUUCUAUGUAUGAGGAGAAGAUUGACAUGACAGACAUACAAUACGCUGCGCUCACGCAGAUAGCAACAGCGCCGCUCACCGCAGCGUACUGCCAACAGCUGUUCACCAACAAGAUGAACUCCAUCUACGCUAACGGCAUGCAUAAGGCGCAGAGCUUCAAUUCGAAGCGGACGCCCUGAACAAGUGGGAGGUAUUCUUCCUGCACCUGAGACCUGACGUGAAGGACCUGAGGGUGGUGUUGCUGGGACCUGACCUCAACCCCUCCAGGCUGCCUCUCGACUUGCUUGGCAAGAUCAACCUGUGUGAAAACUGUCGUCAGAAUAAACGUCGCGUGCUCUUUGAGUUCCAAGACAAGAAGACCUAUCAUGAAUACUGGUCUACUGACUUCACCACGCCAGAUCUAG
rnacentral:misc_RNA from 1 species